rnacentral:misc_RNA from 1 species
GGAAACUUACCAAAUGAUACUCCUUUAACUUCAACGCUAAUAUCACAUGAACAAUCAAACCCAAGAUAACACAAUUGUUUUGCCCAACAAAACAGAUUUAUUUACAUGAGCACCCUUUAUUUUCUUGCAUGUUCCAACGACCAGGAAAGUGCAAAGACAAAUAUUCAACAUAAGCCAAUGAAAAUUAAAGAUUCAUUCAGUCAUCUCUAGAAGAAGCAUUGCAGAAAUUCUUUAACCAAUCCAAGUGAUUGAAUCGCUCGCUCAGCAACUCGGAAAUGCAAAUCAUUGAGUGACAUUUAACCGAAAUCUUCUCUAACCCGCUGCACAGCCACGAUUGGAAAGAAAAUUCUACCAAAAAAAAACCUCAAUUUCACACAAGCAAGGUACUUUCUCCUUCAGUUCUUCUGGUGAGACUAAUCAAGAAGCUUUAACAGCUGAGAAGUUGAAGGAAAUAUGCAAGGAAAUAAUGGGGUGAGUUUUCUAACUUUAUAAGUGAUUAAGAAUCUAGUGGAAGAGAUGCGAGUAGGUGCCAAAGCAGAAUCAAUUGAUAUGCGAACACAGUGAGAAGAACAUAAUUUGACUGCCAUUUUUCGAUUCUUUUCUGUUGAUGAACCAACGCAGAAGCAGAGCAGAAAUUGACCCAGUAAGAAGACUUAUGAGCAUAG